rnacentral:rRNA from 1 species
GACGAACGCUGGCGGCGUGCUUAACACAUGCAAGUCGAACGGAAAGGCCUUUUCGGCGGUACUCGAGUGGCGAACGGGUGAGUAACACGUGGGUGAUCUGCCCUGCACUCUGGGAUAAGCCUGGGAAACUGGGUCUAAUGCCGGAUAGGACCGCACUUUAGUGUGUGUGGUGGAAAGUUUUUUCGGUGUAGGAUGAGCCCGCGGCCUAUCAGCUUGUUGGUGGGGUAAUGGCCUACCAAGGCGGCGACGGGUAGCCGGACGGAGAGGGUGGUCGGCCACAUUGGGACUGGGAUACGGCCCAGACUCCUACGGGAGGCAGCAGUGGGGAAUAUUGCACAAUGGGCGCAAGCCUGAUGCAGCGACGCCGCGUGGGGGAUGACGGCCUUCGGGUUGUAAACUCCUUUCGCCAGGGACGAAGCGUUUUGUGACGGUACCUGGAGAAGAAGCACCGGCUAACUACGUG